rnacentral:rRNA from 1 species
UACGUAGGUGGCAAGCGUUGUCCGGAAUUAUUGGGCGUAAAGCGCGCGCAGGCGGUCCUUUAAGUCUGAUGUGAAAGCCCACGGCUCAACCGUGGAGGGUCAUUGGAAACUGGGGGACUUGAGUGCAGGAGAGAAGAGUGGAAUUCCACGUGUAGCGGUGAAAUGCGUAGAGAUGUGGAGGAACACCAGUGGCGAAGGCGACUCUUUGGCCUGUAACUGACGCUGGAGGCGACGAAAGCGUGGGGAGCAAACAGG